UACGUAGGUGGCAAGCGUUGUCCGGAAUUAUUGGGCGUAAAGCGCGCGCAGGUGGUUCUUUAAGUCUGAUGUGAAAGCCCACGGCUCAACCGUGGAGGGUCAUUGGAAACUGGGGAACUUGAGUGCAGAAGAGGAAAGUGGAAUUCCAAGUGUAGCGGUGAAAUGCGUAGAGAUUUGGAGGAACACCAGUGGCGAAGGCGACUUUCUGGUCUGUAACUGACGCUGAGACACGAAAGCGUGGGUAGCAACAGGA
rnacentral:rRNA from 1 species